rnacentral:misc_RNA from 1 species
AUAACAGAACUUGGGUGGUGGGUAAAGCAUAUACGAUCAGCACCAUGCUUUUUAUGAAAUGUGGUUUUGAGUAACCUGGCAUUCGCAAUAUCGUAGAGUCGGACGGAAUCAUCCUCGCUUGCCGUUACCAGCAAAUCUUCCUUACGAUGAAAAUCCAGAGAAUUUAUCUUCCCAACGAAGUCGGAGAAAACAGCUCCGAUUGACAUGCUGCGUACCGUGGCAUCGUCGAGCUCGGUGAGCG